AUUUUAGUGGUCAUUUUAGUAGUUGUAAUAGAGGGAGGCAAGUAUUUAAGAAACAUUUUUACUACAAAAGGAUAGCAAACAUUCAAGAAUACAUCAAAACAGUUCAAUCCCCGAAAGACCUGCUGAAUAAACAUGAAUAAAUUAAACAAGCAUUAAAAGAUCAUAUGAACAGUAGUAAAAUACAUGUUAUUCUUAAACAUAUAGUGUACCUUUAAGGUUAACAACCACAAUGUAAUUUUGUAGCCAAUUGAUCACUGACAAAUUUAAUGUGUCAAGCCUACAUGUCAAUGGGUAAAUCAAAAUAGAUAUUUACAAACUUAAAAAAAAGGAUGUUAUGAAGCAUACGUUAUGAAACAACAGAGAUACUAUCAGUCAGAUGAAAUGGCUAAACCAUCCUAACUCUAAUGAUUGACAUUAAAUGUGAACUUGAAAUACCUUGAACUAGACUUAAUACAUAGGUAGGUAGGUAGGUAGGUAGGUAGGUAGGUAGAAAACAAUUGCCAUUGAUAUCAAUGAACAUACAAACUUAAAUUAAAAAAAAGGAUGUUAUGAAGCAUAUAUUAUGAAUCAUCAGAGAUACCAUCAGUCAGAUAAAAUGCCUAAACAAUCCUAACUCCAAUUAGUGACAUUACAUUACAUUAGUGUGAACUUGAAAUACCCUGCACUAGACUUAAUAAUUAGGUAGUAAGGUAACAAAGAAUUGCCAUUGAUAUCAAUGAAUUAAGAUCCAGCAUUUAAAAAGGUUAUCUUCUCGUAUUGUUCAAAUAGAGUUGACAGCAUGACAUCACUGCAUCUUAACCCUUCAAAUAUUAGUAUUUCCCCUAUCCUUUAUUUGAACAUAGGAAACAACCUAACAAAAAGCAACUAAUUGAUUUGCAUCUGAACCAGAUCACUUUUUUUUUGUAGUCGUAUCUUCAAAGGGUUGUGAACCACACCUCUCAUAUAUGAACAUGCACAAUACAGGUCAGAGGAACUAGUUUGUUUCCAAUAGUUCUGCAUUGAUUGGUGAUUAAGAGUCCUCACCGUUAUCUUCUGUCAAGGACAACACAGAAGUGUUCACCAAAUAGUUUCAAGACAAUGUGAAAUUGAAAUUGUUUCCUUUUUCAAUUUUUUCUCUCUCUCUCUCUCUCUCUCUCUCUCUCUCUCUCUCUCUCUCUCUCUCUCUCUCUCUCUCUCUCUCUCUCUCUCU
ensembl:lncRNA